rnacentral:lncRNA from 1 species
GGUCACUAGGGCUGGAGGACACAGAACUUGGCCCCACACUUCCAUCAGACCUUGGUCCCCAGGGGAGAAGCCCUGGGGCAGCUCCUGCUAGUGCCACUCCCUUAACCCAGCCAAGGAACAGGGAGGGAGGAGCGGUGCUCAGCCAAUGAGGCGACGCCCUGGAGCCCCACCCCACCCAUGCUGGCCCCAGGACCCCAGCCCCAGGCCAGACCCUCCAGUGCUCCUGCUGACCUUCCGUGUCUGCAGCCCGGCUUUGGACUGUGGAGAUGCCCUCAGCCUCUACUCAGUGGCUCCAGCCUCAUAUUUGCGUGCUAUACCUUUAACCUCAAGUCCUCUUGCUGCUAACUUAAGCUGCGACUGUCCAGGACCUGCACACACACACACAUGCACGCAUGCACACACACACACACAGAAGCCCAGUUCCCUCUAGCUCCAGCACAGACUCUUAUCUCCAGCCCUGACUGCCGAAACCCUCCAGCCCCAGCUCCAGCCCCUCAGGAGGGGACUGCGUGGGAGGAAUGACUCCAGCAAGCCGGCAGCUGACCCGUCUCCUGCCUGCACGCCUCCCGCUGUGGUCCACUGCCGGUGGUCUUCAGCUCUCUCCUCGUCCCACCCCCAUGGUCUGCUGACAGCCCAGCUCAGUGCAUCCCUGCCAUCUCUGCUCUACCGCUGGUCCUCCCAACAACCAACUUACAGGGUUUCACUCCCGUCACCCAGACUGGAGUACAAUGGUGCGAUCUCAGCUCACUGCAACCUCUGCCUCCUGGGCUUAAGCGAUUCUCCUGCCUUGGCCUCCCAAGUAGCUGGGAUUACAGGUGCCUGCCACCACUCCUGGCUAAUUUUUGUAUUUUUUGUAAAGGCGGAGUUUCUCCAUGUUGCCCAGGCUAGUCUCAAACUCCUGAGCUCAAGCAAUCCACCCGCCUCGGCCUCCCAAAUAAGUGGAAUUAUAGGUGUGAGCCACCACGCCGGCCCUGAUGUAUCAAUAUUAAAACAUUUUCUUCAGCCUACAAGUUCUUCUUUUUCUUAUUUGGAUGCAA